rnacentral:rRNA from 1 species
ACGCUCGACACCUACGGGGGGCAGCAGUGAGGAAUAUUGGUCAAUGGGCGCUAGCCUGAACCAGCCAAGUAGCGUGAAGGAUGAAGGCUCUAUGGGUCGUAAACUUCUUUUAUAUAAGAAUAAAGUGCAGUAUGUAUACUGUUUUGUAUGUAUUAUAUGAAUAAGGAUCGGCUAACUCCGUGACAGCAGCCGCGGUAAUCUGAGCGGGCUGGCAAGGC